rnacentral:tRNA from 1 species
GCGCUCGUAGCCCAAUUGGAUAAGGCGCCAAGCUACGGACUUGGAGAGUCGGGGUUCGAAUCCCUGCGAGCGCGCCA